UUCAUUCUGAAUGCACAGGAGAGUCACCUGGGGAGGAUUUUCAGACGCCAGGGCCCUACUCUGACCAACAAAAUCAGAUUUAGGAAGAGGCCGGAGUAUCAGGAAUUUUAAAAAGCUCCUGAGGGGAGCCCAGUGAGUAGCCAGGGUUGAGAACCACUUUGCUAGAGGAAGCUGAUCUGAGAAACAAGCGGAGGUGACGGUGGGGAAGAAGGAGCUUGAAUCUCUCCCUGGUCUACCAGCAGGUUUGGGGAACAGGGGCCUGGACCUGCAGGCAGACAUUUUGCCACCACCUGAAGCAGGGGAUAAACCCAACAUGGAAGACUGUGGAGCUGAGAUACGGAGAAGAGACAAAUCUUGAUGACAUGAUUUGAGACAUUCCUGAAGAUGAAGUCUGAUGAAAGAGAAAACCGAUGCAGCAGUGUCAGUUAAUUCAGAGCCCAGGGCUGCUUUCAAAAGUGGGGCUUAGUAUGACCCCAGAGACAGCCGACUUCAACUCAAAUGACCUUGGAAUCUGACAGAGGGCAUUUCAGUUUCAGAAAUCUUUUGCAACAUACAAGUAACUAUUUCAUGAAAAAGUUUUUGGAAAGCUCAACAACUGCAUCACGCAUCGUUCUCUGCUGAGCAUUUUCAUCUGCAACCUGAUGAUGACUGGACUAGGAAUCGUCUCGUAAAGGGCACCUUGGUGGUGCGUGGAGCUGCCGACGGGCACUUUGCAGCUGAGCACGCACGUUCCUGGUCAGAAACCCACCGCUCUCCUCCUGACACUGGCUUUUGCCAACCAAGGGAGGAAGCUGUCCAUCAAGGGAGGCAGAGAGAAGCGCCUGCCCACUUGAGAUGUGCACGGCAGCCCCACACCCC
rnacentral:lncRNA from 1 species